rnacentral:rRNA from 1 species
UACGGGGGGGGCAAGCGUUGUUCGGAAUUACUGGGCGUAAAGCGUGCGCAGGCGGUUGUGCAAGACAGAUGUGAAAUCCCCGGGCUCAACCUGGGAACUGCAUUUGUGACUGCACGGCUAGAGUGUGUCAGAGGGGGGUAGAAUUCCACGUGUAGCAGUGAAAUGCGUAGAUAUGUGGAGGAAUACCGAUGGCGAAGGCAGCCCCCUGGGAUGACACUGACGCUCAUGCACGAAAGCGUGGGGAGCAAACAGG